rnacentral:rRNA from 1 species
UACGUAGGGGGCAAGCGUUGUCCGGAUUUAUUGGGCGUAAAGAGCGUGUAGGCGGCCAGGUAGGUCAGCUGUGAAAACUCGAGGCUCAACCUCGAGACGCCGGUUGAAACCAUCUGGCUAGAGUCCGGAAGAGGAGAGUGGAAUUCCUGGUGUAGCGGUGAAAUGCGUAGAUAUCAGGAGGAACACCGAUGGCGAAGGCAGGUCUCUGGGCUGACACUGACGCUCAUGCACGAAAGCGUGGGGAGCAAACAGG